AGAUGAUCUCAGUCAGACAUAUCUGUGUACUUCUUCUCUCUCAGCUGUAUCUGAUUCAAAGUGAGGAUGUUCACCAACAUAUUCCUUUAACCACAGCUGAACACGGUAGAACUAUAACACUGCAAUGUGUGAUAUCAGAAGAAGAUCGAAUGCUAUACUGGUACAAGCAAACUAUUGGACAUUUGCCCCAACGUGUAGCGGAUACAAUUACAUUUCAAGAAACUUCAAAUCUUUUGGGAGAACGUAUCUCUGCAAAAAUGGUUGGUAUUAAUUAUGAUCUAAACAUCCAAAAUAUAACUAGUUCAGACGAGGGAAUAUACUUCUGUCAAACCGGAACAAUAUAUGGGAUGAAUUUCAGAACCGGCACCUUUGUGACUGUGAGGGGUAACCAUCUUCAGAGAACUGGCUACCAGACAAUGUUGCAGCAGCCAGAGUCUGAGCUAGUCCAUCCAGGAGACUCUGUGACUCUGCAGUGUUCAGUCCUCUCUGA